CACGCCGGCAUGAACGGAUUACCUUGAUGGGGUUAAUAAUGAGACACUCUCUCUGACAUUUCUUCA
rnacentral:tRNA from 1 species